rnacentral:rRNA from 1 species
AGAUUGAACGCUGGCGGCAGGCCUAACACAUGCAAGUCGAGCGGUAGAGAGGUGCUUGCAUCUCUUGAGAGCGGCGGACGGGUGAGUAAUGCCUAGGAAUCUGCCUAGUGGUGGGGGAUAACGUUCGGAAACGGACGCUAAUACCGCAUACGUCCUACGGGAGAAAGCGGGGGACCUUCGGGCCUCGCGCCAUUAGAUGAGCCUAGGUCGGAUUAGCUAGUUGGUGAGGUAAUGGCUCACCAAGGCGACGAUCCGUAACUGGUCUGAGAGGAUGAUCAGUCACACUGGAACUGAGACACGGUCCAGACUCCUACGGGAGGCAGCAGUGGGAAUAUUGGACAAUGGGCGAAAGCCUGAUCCAGCCAUGCCGCGUGUGUGAAGAAGGUCUUCGGAUUGUAAAGCACUUUAAGUGGAGAAGGUUGUAACCUAAUACGUUGCAACUUUGACGUUACGACAGAAUAAGCACCGGCUAACUUCGUGCCAGCAGCCGA